rnacentral:rRNA from 1 species
GACGAACGCUGGCGGCGUGCUUAACACAUGCAAGUCACGGGGGCCCGCAAGGGUCAACCGGCGAACGGGUGCGUAACACGUGAGCGACCUGCCCAAUUGCGGGGGAUAGCCGGCCCAACGGCCGGGUAAUACCGCAUACGCUUCCCUGGGGGCAUUCUUGGGGAAGGAAACCUACGGGGCGAUUGGAGGGGCUCGCGGCCUAUCAGCUAGUUGGCGAGGUAACGGCUCACCAAGGCGAUGACGGGUAGCUGGUCUGAGAGGAUGGCCAGCCACAUUGGGACUGAGAGACGGCCCAGACUCCUACGGGAGGCAGCAGUGGGGAAUCUUGGCGCAAUGGGCCGAAAGGCUGACGCAGCGACGCCGCGU